rfam:Flavobacterium sp. EM1321 contig00021, whole genome shotgun sequence.
ACAUUACUAUAUUUGCAACAUGAAAACAAUUACAAAUAAUACUUGGUGGUGGAACAAUUUACGUCAAUAGUCGUGAACUAAGCUCCUAUGGUAUUAUUAUCUAUAAAUAUAAAAGGCUUGUC